GAAAGUAUAGCUCAGUGGUAGAGUGUGUGCUUAGCAUGCACAAGGUCCUGGGUUCAAUCCUCAAUACCUCCA
rnacentral:tRNA from 1 species